rnacentral:lncRNA from 1 species
GGUGUGGUUCGAGAAAAAGAAAACCUGGUAGUCUGAAAAAAGGAGAACCUGGCUGUGCGAAAAAAGGGAGACCUGGUCGUUCAAAAAAGGGAAAACCUGGUCCAAACGAACCUGCAGAACCAGAGGAACAAGACGAAGGUGCAGAAAUGGAGGUGGACCAAGGGCAAUCAGCUUUGGACAUGUCUGAAGGGAAAGAUCGAGCUGCUGAAAUGGAGCAACAAGAAGAGUCAGCUCUGGGCAUGUCUGAACCUAAAGAUGAACCUACAGAAAUGGAGGAGCACCAGGAAGAGUCGGCUCAGGGCAUGUCUGAACCUAAAGAUGAGCCUGCAGAAAUGGAGGAGCAACAGGAACGGUCAGCUCUGGACAUGACUGAAGCCGAAGACAAACCUGCGGAGAUAGUGGAGCACCUGGAAGAGUCAGCUCUGGACAUGACUGAAGCUGAAGACAAACCUGCAGAGAUGAAGGAGCACCAGGACCGGUCAGCUCAGGACAUGACUGAAGCCAAAGACAAGCCUGCAGAGAUGGAGGUUCACCAAGAACAGCCAGCUCUAGAUAUGUCUGUAGAUGAAGACGGGCUUGCAGAAAUGAAGGGGCACCGAGGACAGUCAGCUCAGGACAUGC